rnacentral:rRNA from 1 species
UUCGGCGGCCAUAGCGCGAGGGACACGCCCGGUCACAUUCCGAACCCGGAAGCUAAGCCUCACAGCGCCGAUGGUACUGCAGGGGGGACCCUGUGGGAGAGUAGGACACCGCCGGAC